AAAAAAUCAAGCCCACUUCCAUUUAUAGCUGAAAUUAAGAAGUUUAAUGGGUUUCAUUAUUUAAUUUCGCUCAAUUAAAUAUUUCCUAAGUUCAUUCAAAACUUUGAAAAAUAUUAUAUUAAGCCCAAUUAAAUAAUACAGGCUUAUGACUUAAAAAAAAAAAAAACUUUUUAUUUUCAAAACAAUACAAUUAAUUUCCUAUAACGCGUAAAAUUAUUUUAUUUUAUUAAUUUAGUCUCCAAAAUAUUUCAGGGUCCUUACCAUCCAAUGAUAUUUUCAUCUUAAGGCUCCUCACUGUCUCAACAUGUUUAAAACAGAGGGUAAAAACUAGAUGUCUACGGUAACAUUAGUCCUUGAGUCCUCAACUCGCUUAUCCUCAAGCACAAAAUUUGGACGUUGUGUGGAUGCUUGUAAUUGCAUGUGAGGAAAUUCAAGGUGAUUGCAUCUUAAGAUUAGGUUCAAACUCUAAUGGCUCUUCCUAGGUAAUGGCUUCAAGGAAGAAAAGUUUCUUGCACCGAUGGCCGCGAACAAAAGAUUCAUGGAAUUUGAUUAAACUCCUCUCUUCCAUCUCAACUUGGCUCAACCUUUUAAUAAUCAUGCUUCCAAUUGCUAUUUUGGGUGGAGGACAACUAGAAUCACCCCACUGCAAGUGGAUCAACGUAGA
rnacentral:misc_RNA from 1 species